CCAGCUGUUCUUACGAGAGGUACAUUGUGGGGUAAAAUUAACGUAUUUUCCAGCAGUGUGGGGUUUUUUGGGUACUGUGGGGUUAACCCCAUAAUGAAGAGGUCUAAUUACGUUCAAAAUUACUCUAUGAGGUCGAAAAACCUAAAAUUAGAUUUAACCUCACAAAGACUUUGUCCAAAUUUUGGACAUGUCCUUAGCCCAAAACGCUCAGACAUUCAGAAAUCUGCUGUUUAGAGGAGUUCGGUAAUUGAAUCGAGGAGUUCCGAAUACCUGAGCAUGCGCAUAUAUUUAAAACUAACUGCGCAUGCGCAGAAUACGGAAGUAGCUGUGCGGACAUUUUGUAUUAGCAGUGAGGAAAUUCGGAAACACAAAAAGCAAAUGCAGUAAGUCUUACUAUUUUGUUGCACCACAUUGAAAAAAAGCUUUGUAAGUUGUUUGAUAUGAUUCAUACGUACAUUAUGCAGUUGUAGAAUUUAUUUAAAGUCAAGGAAAGGACACUUGUAGUCCACAUAAACACAUACCGAUUGAAAACGGGCUUUUGUGAAAAAAAAAUUAUAAUGAAUGCACUGAUAGUUCUUUUUUUAAUCAGAGGUCUGCAAUGAAAAUCGACCGAUACCCGGGGGUCGGGCUAGUGGUUUUCUGCAAGAGGGUCGUCCCGUUGGCCAGUAAAAAAUGAUUAUAUUAUUUAUACACGUGCAAUACAUGCAAAGCACACCUGAGUUCAGAUACUGAAAGUGAACAUCAGUGGAACUUUGAUGAUCUAGGCCGCUCUAUUUUUGCAGCAACACCAGCAGGCGUCGGACAUUCAUAAAGUUGAAAGAACAAACCUAUGACUUUCAAGAACACACAAUUUGUGAUCUGAAUAUAGUUCACAAAUUUAAGGAAAGCAACUAUCAAAGACAUCCAGAUUGAUGGUAUACAUGAAGUAUGAAUGAAAGACUUUUCAGAAGAACAAGCACAAUCCCGAUUCAUUCUUGCCAUUGUCUGCUCCAGACGGCGACAUUUAGGACCUGACUUACUUUUCAGAAAAAGAAGAUGAAUCGAUUUUUGAUAGUUGAUCUUAAAAAGAUAACAUUUUCAGGGGUCGUGGAUUGAAUGACAUUUUCUUGCAAUCUCCCAUGCAGAGUUGUCGUUCGUUCCUCUCUCAGACACCUCUGCAAUGGGCUCACGUCAAGAUUUUUGACAUAACGUAUAAAACGUGAUAUUUGAAGAAUUGUUUCAAUUCAAAUCAAUAGUUCUGGAUUGAUUUAGUAAAUGUCUAUCUCAAAAUUCAGACAUAAACAUAGAAAUUGAAUUGUAAUGAAUUAAAACAAACGCACUAUUUCUCGUGUUUAAAACUGUGUAUACGCGAGCCAACG